AUAGCUAUUAGUUUGCCUAUCUAU
rnacentral:snRNA from 1 species